rnacentral:rRNA from 1 species
AUGAACGCUGGCGGCGUGCCUCAUCCAUGCCCGUCGAGCGAACAGACGAGGAGCUUGCUCCUCUGACGUUAGCGGCGGACGGGUGAGUAACACGUGGAUAACCUACCUAUAAGACUGGGAUAACUUCGGGAAACCGGAGCUAAUACCGGAUAAUAUAUUGAACCGCAUGGUUCAAUAGUGAAAGACGGUUUUGCUGUCACUUAUAGAUGGAUCCGCGCCGCAUUAGCUAGUUGGUAAGGUAACGGCUUACCAAGGCAACGAUGCGUAGCCGACCUGAGAGGGGGAUCGGCCAAACUGGAACUGAGACACGGUCCAGACUCCUACGGGAGGCAGCAGUAGGGAAUCUUCCGCAAUGGGCGAAAGCCUGACGGAGCAACGCCGCGUGAGUGAUGAAGGUCUUCGGAUCGUAAAACUCUGUUAUUAGGGAAGAACAAAUGUGUAAGUAACUAUGCACGUCUUGACGGUACCUAAUCAGAAAGCCACGGCUAACUACGUG